CCAGCAACAGUGACUUUAUCUGUCAAGUUGUACAGGAAAGGAGCACAGUGUUUUGCUAACGCUACAAAACAAGCACCAACGUUUCACAGAUCACUCAGUCCUACCUGGCACCGCACAUGAGCAUGGCUG